UACGUAGGGUGCGAGCGUUGUCCGGAAUUAUUGGGCGUAAAGAGCUUGUAGGCGGUCUGUCGCGUCUGCUGUCAAAGACCGGGGCUUAACUUCGGAAAGGCAGUGGAAACUGAACAGCUAGAGUAUGGUAGGGGCAGAGGGAAUUCCUGGUGUAGCGGUGAAAUGCGUAGAGAUCAGGAAGAACAUCGGUGGCGAAGGCGCUCUGCUGGACCAUAACUGACACUCAGGGACGAAAGCUAGGGGAGCGAAUGGG
rnacentral:rRNA from 1 species